AUAUAUAUAUAUAUAUAUAUAUAUGAGUCUGCUGGUAUGAACUGAUAGGUCGGCAUGUAACAUCUUAAGGUGCUGGCAUGGCUGUGUGGUUAAGAAGCUCACUUUCCAACCACAUGGUUUCUGGUUCAGUCCCAUUGUGCAGUAUCUUGAAUCAUUAAAAUGGAAUGUCAAGUUAAGAAAGGCGAGUAUUUUCGACACCUCCUUUUUGCUGCACGACAACGACCGCUCUCAUAUCACUAAUAUGACCAAGGAAGCCAUUCAAACACAUGGCUGGGAAGUGCUGUCACACUCGCUGUACUCUCCUGAUUUGGCACCAACGGAUUUCCACCUUUUUCUAUCUCUUUCAAAUGUUAUGCGCGGAGCUUCGUCCAAUGCUGAUGCAGAAUUGAGAGCUUGGUUGGAUCAAUUUUGCGGGUCGAAAUCGGGUGAUUUCUACCAACGAGGUAUUGAAAAUCCUGUUGAAUGUUGGGAAGAAGUUGUAAACAUCUCCAUAAGUUCGGUCUUGUGAGCAGAUGCUGCCGAGAAGCUUCUCGUGAAUUGACCAAUAAUCAGGCUCAACAACAAAUGAACAUCUUGAAACUACUGGCAAAUCCUCAAGAUGCUCGUUUUUGGUGUCGAAUUAUAACCGAGGAUGAAAAAAAUCCUAAUAAGAGAAAUCAGCGGCUUCGUUCAGGCCAGGCUUCAAAAGCUUAUGUCAAAUGAGGAUGGUUUGAACAGAAGGUCAUUUUGAGUGUAUGGUGGAACUUCGAUGGCUAUGAUGUGAACACUAACCUUUAUGUUCAACGACUGCAGCAAAUAUAUGAUGCUUUGAAAGUUCGCAACCCGGCAUUGGUCAAUCGAACACGUGCACUCACGCAGCAUGACAAUGUUCCAACAGACACUGCGAAUAUGAUCGAACACAAGCUUGAAGGGCUGAAAGUGCUGCCCUACCCUGCCUACAAUCCAAACCUUGUACCAUCGGUUUAUUACCUUUUCCGAGCCAUGGCUCAUUUCCUGCAGGGAGGAAUGUUCAACAAUGUGGAUGAGGUUGAAAACGAAUGCAGGAAGUUUUUUUUUUGCCUCCAAACAAGCUAAAUGGUAUAAAAGUAGAAUUGAAUUGAUGGCACCACGAUGGCUACAGACAAUAGUAUAUGAAGGGAUAUAUUUUGAUGAAUAAACGCUUUUCGUGUUUAGUUUGUUUGAACUGUUAAUUAAGUUUGAAAUAGGAAGAAAAAACUUUUGACUCAAUCAGAUAUAUAUGCGCAGUAUAGCUGAAUGUUUAAACAGUUCGCUUCGCGUGGUAUCUUGGGCAAAUGUCAUUUCCUAUAGCCUCGAGUAGACCCAUAUCUUGUAAGCGAAAUUGGAUGCACGAAAAGUGUAUAGAAGUUUGGCGGGUGGUAUAGCCUUGUUAUACACUGUAUCGCGCUGAUUUUGCCGGAGAAUUACACGGUAAUUCAGGAGCAGAUUAUUCAGUUGAUCGAGCAACUGAAUGUUCAUCGCGAACGACGGAGAACCAACAUCGUUAUAUAUAUAUAUAUAUAUGUAACCUCGUGGGCAUCGGUGCCGAUUUUUUCUUCCUCCGUUUUUCCAUUCUUUGAACUUUCCGUCUUUCCGACGAAGGGCUCCGCCCGAAACGUCAUACUUUCUCUUUCCUUUCCCGAGCGUCUAAUAACACUAUCCGUAUCACGUCCUCACUUUGUUGUUUUUUGUUAUUGUUUUUUGAACUUAUAUAUAUAAUGGAUUUACAAAUACAAUAUUCCUACAUUCACUCUCUAUUUCCUAUCUUAUCUAAACUAACUAUUGCUUAACCAUCCUCUCACACCGUCUCCGAUGAAGGGAUAUAAUAAAUAUCCUGGAAACAGCUGUAAGACCUAUUUAUAAAUGUUCUAUAUUAUACACAACCUUGGUUUUUUUUAUUUUUUAUCUCAUUACAAAAAGUAAAUCCGGCAUACUAUUCCUUUCAGCCAUUUCUGAAGAUUGCCGGAGUUGAUUCUAAAGUUUUGGUGU